UGGGGAAUUUUGGACAAUGGGCGCAAGCCUGAUCCAGCCAUGCCGCGUGCGGGGAGAAGGCCUUCGGGUUGUAAACCGCUUUUGUCAGGGAAGAAAUCUUCUGAGUUAAUACCUCGGGAGGAUGACGGUACCUGAAGAAUAAGCACCGGCUAACUACGUGCCAGCAGCCGCGGUAAUACGUAGGGUGCAAGCGUUAAUCGGAAUUACUGGGCGUAAAGCGUGCGCAGGCGGUUUUGUAAGACAGAGGUGAAAUCCCCGGGCUCAACCUGGGAACUGCCUUUGUGACUGCAAGGCUUGAGUGCGGCAGAGGGGGGAUGGAAUUCCGCGUGUAGCAGUGAAAUGCGUAGAUAUGCGGAGGGACACCGAUGGCGAAGGCAAUCCCCUGGGCCUGCACUGACGCUCAUGCACGAAAGCGUGGGGAGC
rnacentral:rRNA from 1 species